rnacentral:miRNA from 1 species
AGUCUUAUCGACCGGAAGGGAUUCCUUCCGGUCGAUGAGGUAAAAACCCUCAUCGACGGAAGGCCGUCGAUGAGGUUGUUAUACCUCAUCGACCGGAAGGAAUCCCUUCCGGUCGAUGAGGGU